ACACAACCGAGAUACAGCCAAGGUGUGGUUUUGCUGCUUGGCAAGUUCAAAAGCAAAGGGAUGUUUUCCUUUUCCUUUCCAAAGUCCACAAACCCAACUUUUUUCAAAUCUGUGUUUCUGAUUUGUGCAGGCUCUUGGGAAUGACAGCGGUGGAAAAGAAUAGGGGCCUGUGGAAUCGAGUGGUGGGAGAGGUAGAAAGGGACAGAGAGAGAUGGAGGAAUGGGAUAGAGAAAGAGAAGGAGAGAAAGCACUAGAACAUGCAACUCUCUUACUCAUCCUCUAGCUCUCUCUCUUUCAUACACACACACAAAAACACAAAAAAGACUGACAGGCUGGAGCUUCAAAGCUUUAGCUUCUCUCUAUCCUUCCUCUGGUGUGGAAUUUCAAUGCAGUAUUUCAUUUUUCAUUGGGGGGUUGGGGAGGGCGAGGAGGUUGGGGCAGGAUGAGUGUGUAUUCUUUCAAUUAUCCACUUCUGUCCCACGGCGGCCCUCUUAUAGUGCUGAUGUGUUUUAGUAAACUAAUAUCAACACAAAUCCAGCCAUGCUGCAAAUGACCAACAUGCAAGGUUGUCAUGACAUUUAGGGCACAUCGUAUUUGGAAACUAAAAAUUCAGCAGAUGGCAUCAAAAAUAUGUAGCAAUAAAAUUGCAAUGUACUAAACAUUUUAUUUUUUAAAUUAUUAUUUUUAUUUAUUUAGGUACUCUUCAGGGAUUUUCCCCCUUAAUUUCCAACAUGAGCCAACAUGAUAUAAAUUUGUAUUUAUUUAUUUUUAUUUUUUUGGUAGCUUUGAGGUUAUCUUUGUGCUGGUCUACUCCUAAAUGUUGAUUAAAUUCACUUUUACCGGAUAGCCUAUUUGAAAUGUUUUUCUCUUUGAGGAAAACAGAGCAGUGAUGACUCAUCCUGCACUACACAGAUUUUUUGUCCAAUCAGAUGCUCUCUCUUGAAGAAUGGCCCGCCCCCUUAGCCACAUACAACCGACUAGAAAUGGAGCAGUGAUGACUCAUCCAGCACUACAGAUUUUUGUCCAAUCAGAUGCUCUCUUGAAGGAGAACAUCCCGCCCCCUUAUGCUGCACACAACCGACUACUGGCCCAUCCCAAGAGUGUUGUGCAUUGUGCCGGACUGAAGAAAUCUCAUCACUGUAUUGAUACAUCACAAAAGCCAAGCACAAUCAUCAUCUGUGAAAGAUCCUCUGAGACCAAUUUAAACCCCAAAGACUUUGACCAUAACAUUUAAAUCAGCAAAACGGUCUAAUUCAGUGUUGGCUAUGAUAGUCCUGAAUACAAUUAUUGUACCUUCAACAUGGCAGAAUUCAUUAAAAUAGCCAUAUAACUGAUAUCAGUGUUAGUCCAAUAUUUCCAUAAUUUCCUCACUGUAAAAUAAUUGGACCUAGAUCUCGUUUUAAGGCCAUGGGAGAACUUUGAUGGCACUCAUUUGCAAUGAGGGUGUCUUUUUCAAACAAGACAUUAAUUAAGUUAGAGUAUCC
rnacentral:lncRNA from 1 species